UACGUAGGGGGCAAGCGUUGUCCGGAUUUAUUGGGCGUAAAGAGCGUGUAGGCGGCCAGGUAGGUCAGCUGUGAAAACUCGAGGCUCAACCUCGAGACGUCGGUUGAAACCACCUGGCUAGAGUCCGGAAGAGGAGAGUGGAAUUCCUGGUGUAGCGGUGAAAUGCGCAGAUAUCAGGAAGAACACCCCGUGGCGAAGGCGGCUCUCUGGGGACGGUACUGACGCUGAGACGCGAAAAGCGUGGGGGAGCGAACAGG
rnacentral:rRNA from 1 species